AAAAUGAUAGAAUGAAAGUAUCUCUUCACUAUAUUGAGAACUGAAUUAAUCUCUGAAGAAUAAGGGAUGAAUAGCUUAUGUUUCUCUGAAAAUAGGGAUGAAAAGAACUUGAUAAAAGGAACCUAGGUCUAAAAAAUGACCUCUAAAUAUAAAUAUAAGCCCUAUAAAACGUCCAAGGACUAAUAAUGCAAAUAGGGAAAUCUUUUGGGGCAAUUUUCCACUUCUGUAAACUUGAAAGCGUCAUGGACUUUUGUGGGCCAAAACUGGUAUUGAUCAACACCUGGAGUGUGUCGAUCGACACUCCCCUGAAUCUGGAAUCUGAAAUCGUCCUUACUUUCCUUUUCCUUAGCUUUUGCUUCUGAAUGUCUUCUCAUCUCCAUUGUUGUCCCAGUGCAUAGAAUACCUGAAAAGACUCUAAAAAGACUCAAGAAAUAACAUAAAGACUCAAAAUCCUAAACCA
rnacentral:sRNA from 1 species